UGCCUGGCGGCCUUAGCGCGGUGGUCCCACCUGACCCCAUGCCGAACUCAGAAGUGAAACGCCGUAGCGCCGAUGGUAGUGUGGGGUCUCCCCAUGCGAGAGUAGGGAACUGCCAGGGAU
rnacentral:rRNA from 1 species